CCCACUCCAUUGUUGGGCUCACUGGAAUUCUAGAAGCUGCCUACGGCAGCUAGAAUUCUAGAAGGUGCCUACGGCACCUGUUUUCUUCAAUCCAACCGAAGAGGAUUUAGUUACUUGGCAUCUCAGAGAAGCCUGCGGAAACAUUGCCUUAACAGGAUGUGGGGAGCACAGCCGCACACACCCCCCCUCCCAUGAAGCCCGGUUUUUUGGAAGGUUGGUGGGUGUGGUGCGCACUCGUCCGCGGCCCUAAUGCCCAGAGCCUGGGAACGCGUCACUUUGUCCAGCAAAAGAGAUUCCGUAGCUGUGGUGAAGUUCAAGAUCUUGAGAUGGGAAGAUUGUCCCAGGAGGAACGCAGCACGGCCAACACCUUGAUGGGGGCCCAGGGAGACCCAGUGCAGACCGCUGACCACCGGAGCUCUGAGAGAAUAAACGUGUGUUGUCAGAAGCCGCUGAGUUUGCCAGCGAAGCCACUGAAUUUGUCGCAGCCGCCCUCGAA
rnacentral:lncRNA from 1 species